UACGGAGGGUGCAAGCGUUGUUCGGAUUUACUGGGCGUAAAGCGCGCGCAGGUGGGUGUGCAAGUCGGAAGUGAAAUCUCGAGGCUCAACCUCGAGGCUGCUCCCGAAACUGCUCGCCUAGGGACUGGUAGAGGCUGGUAGAAUUCCCGGUGUAGCGGUGGAAUGCGUAGAGAUCCGGAAGAACACCGGAGGCGAAGGCGGCUUGCUGGGCGUGAUCUGACGCUGAGGCGCGAAAGCGUGGGGAGCGAACAGG
rnacentral:rRNA from 1 species